rnacentral:rRNA from 1 species
UACGGGGGGAGCAAGCGUUGUUCGGAUUUACUGGGCGUAAAGGGCGCGUAGGCGGUCACGCACGUCCGUUGUGAAAUCGCUCGGCUCAACUGGGCGGGGUCAGCGGAUACGGCGUGGCUGGAGCAAGCUAGGGGGCAAUGGAAUUCCCGGUGUAGUGGUGGAAUGCGUAGAUAUCGGGAGGAACACCAGUGGCGAAGGCGGUUGCCUGGAGCUUUGCUGACGCUGAUGCGCGAAAGCGUGGGGAGCGAUCCGG